UCCGGUUGAUCCUGCCGGACCUUACUGCUAUCGGGGUGGGACUAAGACAUGCGAGUCGAGCGUCUCUAGCUAUGUUGAGACGCGGCAGACGGCUCAGUAACACGUGGCUAACCUACCCUCAGGACGAGGACAAACCCGGGAAACUGGGGCUAAUACUCGAUAGGUGAGUAUGUCUGGAAUGAUUUCUCACUCAAAGGCAUUGGAAACAUGCUUCCAAUGUCGCCUGGGGAUGGGGCCGCGUCCGAUCAGGUUGUUGGUGAGGUAACGGCUCACCAAGCCUAUAACCGGUACGGGCCGUGAGAGCGGUAGCCCGGGGAUGGGUACUGGGAUAAGGACCCAGGCCCCACGGGGCGCAGCAGUCGCGAAAACUCCGCAAUGCACGAAAGUGUGACGGGGCUACCCCGAGUGCCAUCCGCUGAGGGUGGCUUUUCCUUGGUAUAACUAGCCGAGGGAAUAAGGAGAGGGCAAGACUGGUGUCAGCCGCCGCGGUAAUACCAGCUCUCCGAGUGGUAAGGAUGAUUAUUGGGCUUAAAGCGUCCGUAGCCGGCUUAGCAAGUCUCCUGUUAAAUUCAGCGACCUAAUCGUUGAGCCGCGGGAGAUACUACUAUGCUAGGAGGCGGGAGAGGUCGACGGUACUUCUGGGGUAGGGGGUGAAMKCCUAUAAUCCCGGGAGGACCACCAGUGGCGAAGGCUGUCGACUAGAACGCGCUCGACGGUGAGGGACGAAAGCUGGGGGAGCGAACCGGAUUAGAUACCCGGGUAGUCCCAGCCGUAAACGAUGCGGGCUAGGUGUUGGAAUGGCUACGUGCCAUUUCAGUGCCGCAGGUAAGCCAUUAAGCCCGCCGUCUGGGGAGUACGGCCGCAAGGCUGAACUUAAAGGAAUUGGCGGGGGAGCACAA
rnacentral:rRNA from 1 species